rnacentral:rRNA from 1 species
UACGUAGGUGGCAAGCGUUACUCGGAAUCACUAGGCGUAAAGCGCAGGUAGGCGGUUUGGUAAGUCUGUUGUGAAAGCUCCCGGCUUAACUGGGAGAGGCCAACGGAAACUGCCAGGCUUGAGUGUGGUAGAGGUAGCUGGAAUUCCCGGUGUAGCGGUGAAAUGCGUAGAUAUCGGGAGGAAUACCUAUGGCGAAAGCAGGUUACUGGACCAUCACUGACGCUGAUCUGCGAAAGCUAGGGGAGCAAACAGG